UUAAGUUAUUAAGGGCGCACGGUGGAUGCCUUGGCACUAGAAGCCGAUGAAGGACGUUACUAACGACGAUAUGCUUUGGGGAGCUGUAAGUAAGCUUUGAUCCAGAGAUUUCCGAAUGGGGAAACCCAGCAUGAGUUAUGUCAUGUUAUCGAUAUGUGAAUACAUAGCAUAUCAGAAGGCACACCCGGAGAACUGAAACAUCUUAGUACCCGGAGGAAGAGAAAGAAAAUUCGAUUCCCUUAGUAGCGGCGAGCGAAACGGGAAGAGCCCAAACCAACAAGCUUGCUUGUUGGGGUUGUAGGACACUCUAUACGGAGUUACAAAGGACGACAUUAGACGAAUCAUCUGGAAAGAUGAAUCAAAGAAGGUAAUAAUCCUGUAGUCGAAAAUGUUGUCUCUCUUGAGUGGAUCCUGAGUACGACGGAGCACGUGAAAUUCCGUCGGAAUCUGGGAGGACCAUCUCCUAAGGCUAAAUACUCUCUAGUGACCGAUAGUGAACCAGUACCGUGAGGGAAAGGUGAAAAGCACCCCGGAAGGGGAGUGAAAUAGAACCUGAAACCGUGUGCUUACAAGUAGUCAGAGCCCGUUAAUGGGUGAUGGCGUGCCUUUUGUAGAAUGAACCGGCGAGUUACGAUUUGAUGCAAGGUUAAGCAGUAAAUGUGGAGCCGUAGCGAAAGCGAGUCUGAAUAGGGCGUUUAGUAUUUGGUCGUAGACCCGAAACCAGGUGAUCUACCCUUGGUCAGGUUGAAGUUCAGGUAACACUGAAUGGAGGACCGAACCGACUUACGUUGAAAAGUGAGCGGAUGAACUGAGGGUAGCGGAGAAAUUCCAAUCGAACCUGGAGAUAGCUGGUUCUCUCCGAAAUAGCUUUAGGGCUAGCCUCAAGUGAUGAUUAUUGGAGGUAGAGCACUGUUUGGACGAGGGGCCCCUCUCGGGUUACCGAAUUCAGACAAACUCCGAAUGCCAAUUAAUUUAACUUGGGAGUCAGAACAUGGGUGAUAAGGUCCGUGUUCGAAAGGGAAACAGCCCAGACCACCAGCUAAGGUCCCAAAAUAUAUGUUAAGUGGAAAAGGAUGUGGCGUUGCCCAGACAACUAGGAUGUUGGCUUAGAAGCAGCCAUCAUUUAAAGAGUGCGUAAUAGCUCACUAGUCGAGUGACACUGCGCCGAAAAUGUACCGGGGCUAAACAUAUUACCGAAGCUGUGGAUUGUCCUUUGGACAAUGGUAGGAGAGCGUUCUAAGGGCGUUGAAGCAUGAUCGUAAGGACAUGUGGAGCGCUUAGAAGUGAGAAUGCCGGUGUGAGUAGCGAAAGACGGGUGAGAAUCCCGUCCACCGAUUGACUAAGGUUUCCAGAGGAAGGCUCGUCCGCUCUGGGUUAGUCGGGUCCUAAGCUGAGGCCGACAGGCGUAGGCGAUGGAUAACAGGUUGAUAUUCCUGUACCACCUAUAAUCGUUUUAAUCGAUGGGGGGACGCAGUAGGAUAGGCGAAGCGUGCGAUUGGAUUGCACGUCUAAGCAGUAAGGCUGAGUAUUAGGCAAAUCCGGUACUCGUUAAGGCUAAGCUGUGAUGGGGAGAAGACAUUGUGUCUUCGAGUCGUUGAUUUCACACUGCCGAGAAAAGCCUCUAGAUAGAAAAUAGGUGCCCGUACCGCAAACCGACACAGGUAGUCAAGAUGAGAAUUCUAAGGUGAGCGAGCGAACUCUCGUUAAGGAACUCGGCAAAAUGACCCCGUAACUUCGGGAGAAGGGGUGCUCUUUAGGGUUAACGCCCAGAAGAGCCGCAGUGAAUAGGCCCAAGCGACUGUUUAUCAAAAACACAGGUCUCUGCUAAACCGUAAGGUGAUGUAUAGGGGCUGACGCCUGCCCGGUGCUGGAAGGUUAAGAGGAGUGGUUAGCUUCUGCGAAGCUACGAAUCGAAGCCCCAGUAAACGGCGGCCGUAACUAUAACGGUCCUAAGGUAGCGAAAUUCCUUGUCGGGUAAGUUCCGACCCGCACGAAAGGCGUAACGAUUUGGGCACUGUCUCAACGAGAGACUCGGUGAAAUCAUAGUACCUGUGAAGAUGCAGGUUACCCGCGACAGGACGGAAAGACCCCGUGGAGCUUUACUGUAGCCUGAUAUUGAAAUUCGGCACAGCUUGUACAGGAUAGGUAGGAGCCUUUGAAACGUGAGCGCUAGCUUACGUGGAGGCGCUGGUGGGAUACUACCCUAGCUGUGUUGGCUUUCUAACCCGCACCACUUAUCGUGGUGGGAGACAGUGUCAGGCGGGCAGUUUGACUGGGGCGGUCGCCUCCUAAAAGGUAACGGAGGCGCUCAAAGGUUCCCUCAGAAUGGUUGGAAAUCAUUCAUAGAGUGUAAAGGCAUAAGGGAGCUUGACUGCGAGACCUACAAGUCGAGCAGGGUCGAAAGACGGACUUAGUGAUCCGGUGGUUCCGCAUGGAAGGGCCAUCGCUCAACGGAUAAAAGCUACCCCGGGGAUAACAGGCUUAUCUCCCCCAAGAGUUCACAUCGACGGGGAGGUUUGGCACCUCGAUGUCGGCUCAUCGCAUCCUGGGGCUGUAGUCGGUCCCAAGGGUUGGGCUGUUCGCCCAUUAAAGCGGUACGCGAGCUGGGUUCAGAACGUCGUGAGACAGUUCGGUCCCUAUCCGUCGUGGGCGUAGGAAAUUUGAGAGGAGCUGUCCUUAGUACGAGAGGACCGGGAUGGACAUACCUCUGGUGUACCAGUUGUCGUGCCAACGGCAUAGCUGGGUAGCUAUGUGUGGACGGGAUAAGUGCUGAAAGCAUCUAAGCAUGAAGCCCCCCUCAAGAUGAGAUUUCCCAACUUCGGUUAUAAGAUCCCUCAAAGAUGAUGAGGUUAAUAGGUUCGAGGUGGAAGCAUGGUGACAUGUGGAGCUGACGAAUACUAAUCGAUCGAAGACUUAAUCAA
rnacentral:rRNA from 1 species